UAGGGAAUCUUCCACAAUGGACGACAAGUCUGAUGGAGCAACGCCGCGUGAGUGAAGAAGGGUUUCGGCUCGUAAAGCUCUGUUGUUAAAGAAGAACGUGGGUAAGAGUAACUGUUUACCCAGUGACGGUAUUUAACCAGAAAGCCACGGCUAACUACGUGUCAG
rnacentral:rRNA from 1 species